AGCGAACGCUGGCGGCAGGCCUAACACAUGCAAGUCGAACGAACCCUUCGGGGUUAGUGGCGGACGGGUGAGUAACACGUGGGAACGUGCCUUUAGGUUCGGAAUAACUCAGGGAAACUUGUGCUAAUACCGACUGUGCCCUUCGGGGGAAAGAUUUAUCGCCUUUAGAACGGCCCGCGUCUGAUUAGCUAGUUGGUGAGGUAAUGGCUCACCAAGGCUACGAUCAGUAGCUGGUCUGAGAGGAUGACCAGCCACAUUGGGACUGAGACACGUCCCAAACUCCGACGCGAGGCAGCAGUGGGGAAUUUUGCGCAAAGGACGAAAGCCUGACGCAGCCAUGCCGCGUGGAUGAUGACGGUCUUAGGAUUGUAAAAUCCUUUCACCGGUGAAGAUAAUGGCUGUAGCCGGAGAAGAAGCCCCGGCUAACUUCGUGCCAGCCGCCGCCGUAAAAC
rnacentral:rRNA from 1 species